UUGCGAUGGUCCCUGCGG
rnacentral:snRNA from 1 species